AGAUACUUUUUUGAGUUUAUUUAUUAAAUUUUACUUUUUAGUAAAAAGGCUAAAAUCUUUCUUUUAGACAAGAAGACCCUAUAAAGCUUUACAUGAAAAAAUUCAAAAAUUUUUAUCGUGUUUUGUUGGGGCGACAAGAGAAAAGACAUUUUUUAAUUUUUAUAACAAGUUUGUUAAGAUAACCAAAAUUUUUGAAAGAUGAAUAAGUUACUUUAGGGAUAACAGCGUAAUUUAUUUUAAAAGUUCCUAUUGACAAAUAAGUUUGCGACCUCGAUGUUGGAUUAGGGGUUCUUUUCUGUGCAUAAGUGGAAAAAGAAGGUCUGUUCGACCUUUAAUACUCUCCA
rnacentral:rRNA from 1 species